AUAUAUUUAUUUAUUUUUUUAUGGCCACACCUGUGGCAUAUGGAAAUUCCCAGGCUAGGGGUCAAAUUGGAGCAAGAUUACACCACAGCCACAGCUACACCAGAUCUGAACUGCAUCUGUGACCUACACUGCAGCUUGCAGCAUCACCAGAUCCUGGUGAGUGAGGCCAGGGGUUGAACCCUCAUCCUCGUGGACACUAUGUUGGGUUCUUCUUUUUGCCUUUUUUUUUUUUUUUUUUUUUUUGCUAUUUCUUGGGCCGCUCCCAUGGCAUAUGGAGGUUCCCAGGCUAGGGGUCUAAUCGGAGCUGAAGCCACCGGCCUACGCCAGAGCCACAGCAAUGCGGGAUCCGAGCCGCGUCUGCAACCUACACCAUAGCUCACAGCAAUGCCGGAUCGUUAACCCACUGAGCAAGGGCAGGGACCGAACCUGCAACCUCAUGGUUCCUAGUCGGAUUCGUUAACCACUGCGCCACGACGGGAACUCCCACUGUGUUGGGUUCUUAACCCACAGAGUCAAAAUGGGGACUAUUUUUUUUUUUAAUUAAAAUAUUAAAAAAAAAACUUUGGCCAUGCUCACAGCAGGUGAAAUUCCCAGGCCAGGAAUUGAAACUAUGCCACAGUGGUGACCCAAACUAAAUUCUUAACUGCCAAGCCACCAGGGAACCCAGACAUUUAGUACUUUUCAAAAAAAAAAAAAAAAAAAAAAAAAAAAAAAAAAACAAAAAAAAAACCAAACCUCUUUUGAUUUUUGUGGUUUAGGGACUAUUAAUAAAAGUUUCUGAAAUGCAAAAAACCAAACCUCCCCCUACCCCCCAAACACCUGCUCUGCUUACCCCACAGGACUGCUCUCUGAGCAGGGAUAUUUAUCCCUGGGACAGCUGGGAAAGAACUUUGUUUUCUUUUUUUGUUUUAUUUUAUUUUAUUUUUUGCCUUUUUAGGGCCGCACCCAUGGCAUAUGGAGCUUCCCAGGCUAGGGGUCAAAUCAGAGCUACAGCUGCCAGCCUACACCACAGCCACAGCAACUCCAGAUCCGAGCCGCGUCUUCGACCUACACCACAGCCGGAUCCUUGACCCACUGAGAGAGGCCAGGGAUCGAACCCGCAACCUCAUAAUUCCUACUCGGAUCCAUUUCCGCUGUACCACGAUGGGAACUUCGGUGAAAGAGCUUUGUAAGGUGUUGUGUAGAACCCAAGCACAGGGCCAUCACUGUUCUAUCAGAUCCAGGCUGGAUGUCAAGCGUCUCUGUCACCUGGUCUGAUGGAUUGAGAAGUCCUUCAGGAUGGCUGGCUCCCUUUGCACCCUUGCUCUGCAUUUGCGGACAUCACCAGGAGGGAAUUGGUGGCUCCAGCAAAUUCCUGACACCAGCCUUAAUGACAAACCCACUCUCCCUGUAAACAAACACGGUAGUUUUCUGUUUGCCCAUCCACCUCCUGUGUGGUUGGCAUGAGCUGGGCCUCCAGAUAUUAAGCAACUCUGAAUGACCUAAAAACGAAAUCAAGUUGUAGACCUGUCAAGCUAAGACAGGCCCUGUUGUUUUCUCCAAGGUUUCGCCUCUGGGAAUUGGGGUGGUGGUGGGGCACAGACUACCCAAAGAACAAGUUAAGACUUGGAACAUGGAAUCAGAGCUACUUGCUGUGUGUCCUGAGAUAAGUUCCUUAACUUCUCUGAACUUCAUCUUCCGAUUUACCUCACAGAAUAAAGGUAGGUGAAAUAACUUGGUGAACUAAAGU
rnacentral:lncRNA from 1 species